AGGACGAACGCUGGCGGCGUGCUUAACACAUGCAAGUCACGGGGGCCCGCAAGGGUAACCGGCGAACGGGUGCGUAACACGUGAGCAACCUGCCUUUGUGUGGGGGAUAGCCGGGCUAACGCCCGGGUAAUACCGCAUACGGUCAUUUAGGGGAGUCCCUGAAUGAAGAAACCUCCGGGGCACAGAGAGGGGCUCGCGGCCUAUCAGCUAGUUGGCGGGGUAAUGGCCCACCAAGGCGACGACGGGUAGCUGGUCUGAGAGGAUGGCCAGCCACAUUGGGACUGAGAGACGGCCCAGACUCCUACGGGAGCAGCAGUGGGAAUCUGCGCAAUGGCCGAAAGGCUGACGCAGCGACGCCGCGUGUGGGAGGACGCCGUUUCGGGGUGUAAACCACUGUUGCCCGGGACGAACAUCCCGUUUUGAGGGACUGACGGUACCGGUGAGGAAGCGACCGGCUAACUCCGUGCCAGCAGCCGC
rnacentral:rRNA from 1 species